UUAAGUUAUUAAGGGCGCACGGUGGAUGCCUUGGCACUAGAAGCCGAUGAAGGACGUUACUAACGACGAUAUGCUUUGGGUAGCUGUAAGUAAGCGUUGAUCCAGAGAUUUCCGAAUGGGGGAACCCAGCAUGAGUUAUGUCAUGUUAUCGACAUGUGAAUUUAUAGCAUGUCAGAAGGCAGACCCGGAGAACUGAAACAUCUUAGUACCCGGAGGAAGAGAAAGAAAAAUCGAUUCCCUGAGUAGCGGCGAGCGAAACGGGAAGAGCCCAAACCAACAAGCUUGCUUGUUGGGGUUGUAGGACACUCUAUACGGAGUUACAAAAGAACAUGUUAGACGAAUCAUCUGGAAAGAUGAAUCAAAGAAGGUAAUAAUCCUGUAGUCGAAAACAUAUUCUCUCUUGAGUGGAUCCUGAGUACGACGGAGCACGUGAAAUUCCGUCGGAAUCUGGGAGGACCAUCUCCUAAGGCUAAAUACUCUCUAGUGACCGAUAGUGAACCAGUACCGUGAGGGAAAGGUGAAAAGUACCCCGGAAGGGGAGUGAAAGAGAACCUGAAACCGUGUGCUUACAAGUAGUCAGAGCCCGUUAAUGGGUGAUGGCGUGCCUUUUGUAGAAUGAACCGGCGAGUUACGAUCUGAUGCAAGGUUAAGCAGCAAAUGUGGAGCCGCAGCGAAAGCGAGUCUGAAUAGGGCGUUGAGUAUUUGGUCGUAGACCCGAAACCAGGUGAUCUACCCUUGGUCAGGUUGAAGUUCAGGUAACACUGAAUGGAGGACCGAACCGACUUACGUUGAAAAGUGAGCGGAUGAACUGAGGGUAGCGGAGAAAUUCCAAUCGAACUUGGAGAUAGCUGGUUCUCUCCGAAAUAGCUUUAGGGCUAGCCUCAAGUGAUGAUUAUUGGAGGUAGAGCACUGUUUGGACGAGGGGCCCCUCUCGGGUUACCGAAUUCAGACAAACUCCGAAUGCCAAUUAAUUUAACUUGGGAGUCAGAACAUGGGUGAUAAGGUCCGUGUUCGAAAGGGAAACAGCCCAGACCACCAGCUAAGGUCCCAAAAUAUAUGUUAAGUGGAAAAGGAUGUGGCGUUGCACAGACAACUAGGAUGUUGGCUUAGAAGCAGCCAUCAUUUAAAGAGUGCGUAAUAGCUCACUAGUCGAGUGACCCUGCGCCGAAAAUGUACCGGGGCUAAACAUAUUACCGAAGCUGUGGAUUGUCCUUUGGACAAUGGUAGGAGAGCGUUCUAAGGGCGUCGAAGCAUGAUCGCAAGGACAUGUGGAGCGCUUAGAAGUGAGAAUGCCGGUGUGAGUAGCGAAAGACGGGUGAGAAUCCCGUCCACCGAUUGACUAAGGUUUCCAGAGGAAGGCUCGUCCGCUCUGGGUUAGUCGGGUCCUAAGCUGAGGCCGACAGGCGUAGGCGAUGGAUAACAGGUUGAUAUUCCUGUACCACCUAGUAUCGUUUUAAUCGAUGGGGGGACGCAGUAGGAUAGGCGAAGCGUGCUGUUGGAGUGCACGUCCAAGCAGUAAGGCUGAGUGUUAGGCAAAUCCGGCACUCAUAAGGCUGAGCUGUGAUGGGGAGAGGAAAUUGUUUCCUCGAGUCGUUGAUUUCACACUGCCGAGAAAAGCCUCUAGAUAGAUAACAGGUGCCCGUACCGCAAACCGACACAGGUAGUCAAGAUGAGAAUUCUAAGGUGAGCGAGCGAACUCUCGUUAAGGAACUCGGCAAAAUGACCCCGUAACUUCGGGAGAAGGGGUGCUCUUUAGGGUUCACGCCCAGAAGAGCCGCAGUGAAUAGGCCCAAGCGACUGUUUAUCAAAAACACAGGUCUCUGCUAAACCGUAAGGUGAUGUAUAGGGGCUGACGCCUGCCCGGUGCUGGAAGGUUAAGAGGAGUGGUUAGCUUCUGCGAAGCUACGAAUCGAAGCCCCAGUAAACGGCGGCCGUAACUAUAACGGUCCUAAGGUAGCGAAAUUCCUUGUCGGGUAAGUUCCGAC
rnacentral:rRNA from 1 species